rnacentral:lncRNA from 1 species
AGGAAAGAAAUGGCAUGAUCCUGGGUGUCCAGAGUGCUUGACAGAAAGCAAAAUCAAACUGCAGUGCCCUUGGACUUCCAAGGCUCCCAGCCCAUCAGAGCGCCAGGCUCCUCACGGAAAGGUUUCCUCCUGCAGCACCAGCCCACUCUACAGCUGUGGGUUCAGGCCAGCGGCACCAAGUGUCGCGGACCUCAGACUGAGGUGAUGAGCAGAGAUCUGUGCACAGCUCCAGUCUCCAGCGUCAUUUCCUGCAGCCGCUGGGAAAGGAAGUGA